rnacentral:snRNA from 1 species
GUGUUUGCUUCGGCAGCACAUAUACUAAAA